AUUGAACGCUGGCGGCAGGCCUAACACAUGCAAGUCGAACGAGCGGCGGACGGGUGAGUAAUGUCUGGGAAACUGCCCGAUGGAGGGGGAUAACUACUGGAAACGGUAGCUAAUACCGCAUACUAUCAGAUGAGCCCAGAUGGGAUUAGCUUGUUGGUGGGGUAACGGCUCACCAAGGCGACGAUCUCUAGCUGGUCUGAGCGGAUGACCAGCCACACUGGAACUGCUACACGGCCCAGACUCAUACGGGAGGCAGCAGUGGGGAAUAUUGCACAAUGGGCGCAAGCCUGAUGCAGCCAUGCCGCGUGUAGGAAGAAGGCCUUAGGGUUGUAAAGUACUUUCAGCGGGGAGGCGUUACCCGCAGAAGAAGCACCGGCUAACUCCGUGCCAGCCGCCGCGGUAAUAC
rnacentral:rRNA from 1 species